AUUGUAUUAAAAUAGUUGGACCACACAUAUAUCAAUAUGUCAUGUUGCUGUUUUAAUAGAAUAGAUGCCAUAUGUGUCAGAAUUUUACUGGCCAAGUGACUUGUGAUUUAGUAUAUAAAGGUUAAGUCUAUACGUAUGAAAUGUUUAUACAUAUAAUAUUAAGAAGAUAUCAAUCUAUGAUUCUCUGUAUAUUUAACUUACCUUAUAUUAUCUUCUAUACUCAGUAUAUAUUUGUACAUUCUCUAUCAAUACAAUCAUCAUUUCCACUGUAUAGGUAUCAGAGCCAUCGAUACCCUAAAAAUUAUGUCUCAAACCUGGCCGCCCAUCCCUUUCUUCUUCCCUAAACUAUCGCUUCAAUGGAAGCUAACAACCUUCCCCAAAACGGUGAAACCAUUCACACACUCUCCCAAACACUCUUCAGCGUUAACACAUCUAACGUUACAAAAUUGCCUCUACAAACUAUCUUAUGUGGAGUCUAUAGAUUCAUGCCCUCUUAGAUGGCUAUGAUCUUUCUGGAUAUCUGGAUCUACAAUCAUUCCAACUCCAAAUCUUACUGUCAACGUAAAGCUUACCGUCAACCCUACGUUCGCCAUUUGGAAGAGACAAGAUAAACUUAUCUUCAGUGCCUUACUUGGCACCAUCUCUACUACCAUCCAGCCUGUGGUAUCGCGAGCCACAACAUCCGCUCAGAUCUAGCAGACUCUUGCAUCUACGUAUGCAAAACCGAGCCGAACACACAUCAAGCAACUGAGGAAUCAAAUGAAACUUUGGGCCAAAGGAACCCGCACCAUUGACGAGUACUUUCAAGGUUUUACGACAAGGAUCGAUUAACUCGCCAUCCUUGGAAAGCCGCUUGAACUCGAAGAUCAAAUAGAGUUUAUUCUUGAAGGGCUUCUUGAAGAGUACAAGCCAAUAGUUGCUCAAGUUGAAGGAAGAGACACGCCACCUUCUCUUACUGAGUUACAUGAGCGUCUUCUAAAUCAUGAAAUCAAGCUUCUCACCAACGCUUCUUCCACUCAUCUUCCGGUCUCAGCCAACGUUGUUUACAACAACAACAAUGCAAUUCCUCACGCUCAACUCCUCGUCAGAAUCAUCGACAACAAAGCAACUGGAGUGACAAUAACCUUAAGCAGUAUAAUCGCUCUGGUAAUCGUCAAGGGCCAAGACCAUAUCUCAGAAAAUGUCAGUUCUGUAACACUCAAGGUCACAGUGCACGUCGCUGUCCGCAACUCCAGAGUCUGAAACAAAGUGUUGCGUCUCCAUUUCUGAAUGCUGCAACUAUGCUGUGGAAACCAAGAGCCAAUGCAGCAAUGGUCUCGCCCUACUCAGCAAACAAUUUAGGGGUGGGCAAAAAAUCCGAACCAAACCAAACCAAAUCGACCCAACCAAACCUAAACCGAUCCAAACCAAACUGAAGUACAUGUCUAACCCAUUUGGUUCAAGAUUUUAUCAACCCAAAUGGUUCGGUUUGGUUUGGUUUUAAACUGAACCAAACCAAAAAACAUAAGUAUUUUUUAAUUAGAUUAAUUAAAUAUACUAAUAAUAUUAAGAUUUAAUAUAUUUAACCAUUUAGCCUAAACAACUAAACAUAAUUUUAUACAUUUUACUUUUAAAUGAAUAGAAUAAGCACAACUAAAAAUAAACUAAAAGAAUAUAAAUCUCAUACAUUAACAUCAAAAUGGAAAAGUUCGUGGAAUGGUAAUGGAGAAAAUAUAGGGAUUUAGACUUUAGUUAUUUGAAACUUCAGAAAUUUUAGGAAGAAAAUUAAUUUGUUUGUCGACAUUUUUUAAGAAAUUUUUGUAAAACAAACUAGAUUCUGACCUGCCUUUUUACAUUUUUUGUUUUACAUUUUUUUAGAAAUUUAAUUUUUAUAUUUGUGUUUUUAGUCAUAUUUUUGUUUUUUUGUAUAAUAUUUCUCUUAAAUGAUUAAUAAGAGGUUUUAAUAAUUGUAUUAAAAUAGUUGGACCACACAUAUAUCAAUAUGUCAUGUUGCUGUUUUAAUAGAAUAGAUGCCAUAUGUGUCAGAAUUUUACUGGCCAAGUGACUUGUGAUUUAGUAUAUAAAGGUUAAGUCUAUACGUAUGAAAUGUUUAUACAUAUAAUAUUAAGAAGAUAUCAAUCUAUGAUUCUCUGUAUAUUUAACUUACCUUAUAUUAUCUUCUAUACUCAGUAUAUAUUUGUACAUUCUCUAUCAAUACAAUCAUCAUUUCCACUGUAUAGGUAUCAGAGCCAUCGAUACCCUAAAAAUUAUGUCUCAAACCUGGCCGCCCAUCCCUUUCUUCUUCCCUAAACUAUCGCUUCAAUGGAAGCUAACAACCUUCCCCAAAACGGUGAAACCAUUCACACACUCUCCCAAACACUCUUCAGCGUUAACACAUCUAACGUUACAAAAUUGCCUCUACAAACUAUCUUAUGUGGAGUCUAUAGAUUCAUGCCCUCUUAGAUGGCUAUGAUCUUUCUGGAUAUCUGGAUCUACAAUCAUUCCAACUCCAAAUCUUACUGUCAACGUAAAGCUUACCG
rnacentral:lncRNA from 1 species